rnacentral:rRNA from 1 species
GUGGGGAAUAUUGCGCAAUGGGGGAAACCCUGACGCAGCAACGCCGCGUGAUUGAAGAAGGCCUUCGGGUUGUAAAGAUCUUUAAUUCGGGACGAAAAAAAUGACGGUACCGAAAGAAUAAGCUCCGGCUAACUACGUGCCAGCAGCCGCGGUAAUACGUAGGGAGCAAGCGUUAUCCGGAUUUACUGGGUGUAAAGGGCGCGCAGGCGGGCUUGCAAGUUGGGAGUGAAAUCCCGGGGCUCAACCCCGGAACUGCUUUCAAAACUGUGAGUCUUGAGUGAUGGAGAGGCAGGCGGAAUUCCCAGUGUAGCGGUGAAAUGCGCAGAUAUUGGGAGGAACACCAGUGGCGAAGGCGGCCUGCUGGACUGUAACUGACGCUGAGGCGCGAAAGUGUGGGGAGCAAACAGGAUUAGAAACCCCUGUAGUCC